CGGAUAUUUAAAGGCUGCCGCUGCCUGCGCCACACCAGUCCCGCCAGGACGGCGACAGUGAAGCACCUGGGUUGAGAGGGAGCAGCAAGGUAACCGCGCAACCCGUGCCUCCCUGGCCCCCGCCCGCGCCUCAGCCGAGCCGGGUGUGGGGGGACCCGGGAGUGUGUCUCACUGCGUGUCACCUGCCAACACCUUCCUCCCCCACCAUCCUUACUCAGCCCCAGUCUCACCCAGCAUACCUGGGCGAGGCAACCCGGGUGCGAAGGACAAGAGAUUACGACCGAAGAGCGAGCAAAUCAGGAAGACAGCGGCCUCCUGGAGAGGAAGACGUGAUCCCAGGGGCAGACACGUGGCGCUGCGUGGAGAGACGGGGUGACCAGACGACGCUCUUCCGACCGUCCUGUUUGGCCAAACUUGACGACAGCUUCUGGGUCGCUACCAUCUAGACCUCUCAGAGCCCCCUGAACCAUGACGGAGACCCUCAACAUGAGAGAAGGCCCUCUGAACCUGGGCGGCGGCGGGGCGCACUCGGCCUCCCUGCGCUCCUGGUCGUCCUGCCACCGAAGGCGCCGGGGCGCUCCCGUGUACAAUAGAUGGCACCACUAUAGCCCCAAGACCGAGUAUGGGCCCCCAAGGAAACAGCCAAAGCCACAGCACGGCCCGGGGUUUUGGGUCCAACCACCCGUGUGCUCUAACUGGGGGUGCUGGGGAGGGCCCUGGCGCCCACCCCCUCCGGGAUUCCCGAGGCCCCCUGGCCGGGUGCAAGUGAUUCCUGUGUACGGCCUGCACCCGCUCUGCUUUUGCUGCUGCUCCUGCUGGAGCGGAUCCUGGAACCCUGGCUGGGCGAGGCCCCCAGGCAAGAAGAAGCGCUGGGGCCGCAGGGGCCGCAGGGGCCGCGGCCCGCGCCACCACCCUCGCCGCUCCUCCUCGCGGAGCCCGCCCGCCGAUCUGAGCACGCUGCUGCGGCCGGCCAGCCCGUACGAAUGGCGAGCGCCUGGCAUGCGAGCGCCGCGCAACACCACCCAGUUCAUCAUGGACCAGAUCUACGAGGACAUGCGGCAGCAGGAGGAGCUGCAGCGCCAGCAGCAGGCCCUGGGGGCGCAGCAGGCCCUGGUGGGGGGCGAGGCCUCCCCGGCCGGAUCCUCCGGAAACGACGCGCCCCCUGGCGGCAGCGAGGAAACCUGGGCGCUGCCGGAAACUCUGUAUGACCUUGUGCAGAAUCCUCUGGCAUUCAGUCCCACCCCAGAGGAAAACCAGUCUCCUGCCCCUCUGCUGGUGAAGGAAGACGAGGGGGAAGAGAAAAAUGAUGACGAGUAUGACCAGGAGAUGUGUGAUGUAAAGGAGGAGAGCGAGGAGGAGGAAGGAGAGGUUGAAGAUGAGGAAGGAGAGGUCGAAGAUGAGGAGGAGGAAGAGGAGGUCGAAGAUGAGGAGGAGGAAGAGGUCGAAGAGGCUGAAUACGUGGAGGGGGAGGAGGAGCUGGAAGAGGAGGAGGAGGGGGGCCUGGAGAAGAACAAGCAGGGAGGGGAAGAAUUUCACUUGCCUUUGGAAAUGCCUUUAUCAAUCUUCGUAGGGGCUGAAGAAACGAGAGAGAACUUUAUAAACUGUACUUUUUUAAACCCAGAGCAGAUAAUUCCCAACGUAUCGCAGGAAUCCCUGUUCCUGGCACAGGACUUUAACUGUUAGACAUCAGAAAAGGGAUUGAGGAAAAGGAUGGAACUGAUUUGAGGCUAAACUGGAUUAGCAAUUUAUUAAAAACUGAUUAAAAAUGCUAUGGAUCUUCCUCAGAAGAACAAGAAGUUGCUUCUGUGGAACUGGUUAUCUGCCAUGGCCUCAACAAUCCAUAAUCCAUUCAUGGAGAGGAUUCCCCAUGGUCAGAAGUCAACUUGCACAUCUAGUUAAAAUCCAAGGUAACUGCAAACAAUGGAACAUAGCUUAGGUUCUGAAGCCUCGUUAUUGGAUAUAGUCUUUGUCAUAAGUUCUGAGCAGCCAUAAAGAUAGUUUUGCAGAAUGGAUUUUUUAAAAGAAAAACAUUAUUGACCUUUUGGGGAUGGAAUAUCUUAUUUUGUUUUUCAAUUUGUCUUCCUUAUAAAGGAGAGUAAAACAAAGACAUGUAAGUGUGAGUCUGUGUGAGCUAGUUUCUGAUAUCUAAAUAGCAAUUAUCUAUGGAGAAACGUCAUUCAAAGUAACAGCUUUUGUUCAAACAUUUUUAGGAAGUAAUAAUAUGUUUCUUCCUGGAUAGUUAAUAAAAGUUCCAUCCAUAGCAUAUUUCCAAGAUAUCCUUAGAUGAUGAAUUUGAAUCUGCCGUCUCAGAAAUUACAUCAUUUGACUUUGAACCACAAUUUAGCAUUUAUUUGUUGAAGAGAAGAAUGUGUGGUGAUGUCUUAUCUGAGUGUUGAUUGUUACUGAUAUAUUGCAGUUUUCAAAGUGAUAAGCAUAAGCUAUUAU